ACCAUCACCCUCACCCCACUCCCCAACGACGCCACGAACAGGAAGAACCCAGUGAGAGGCAUCAUGGCCGCCGAGUCAGCGAGGCAUUAAUUGAGGAUCAGAUUUAUGGCAUUUUCCUGAUCCUCAACCAGUGGUCAAGCAUUAUGACAAGCCAGAAAUCUAUAAAAAAAAUCUGCAAAAUGUCA